rnacentral:rRNA from 1 species
GAAAGACGGCCUUUGUGCUGUCGCUUAUGGAUGGACCCGCGGCGUAUUAGUUAGUUGGUGAGGUAACGGCUCACCAAGACGAUGAUACGUAGCCGACCUGAGAGGGUGAUCGGCCACAUUGGGACUGAGACACGGCCCAAACUCCUACGGGAGGCAGCAGUAGGGAAUCUUCCGCAAUGGACGAAAGUCUGACGGAGCAACGCCGCGUGAGUGAAGAAGGUUUUCGGAUCGUAAAACUCUGUUGUCAGAGAAGAACAAGUUGGAGAGUAACUGCUCCAGCCUUGACGGUAUCUGACCAGAAAGCCACGGCUAACUACGUGCCAGCAGCCGCGGUAAUACGUAGGUGGCAAGCGUUGUCCGGAUUUAUUGGGCGUAAAGCGAGCGCAGGCGGUUCCUUAAGUCUGAUGUGAAAGCCCACGGCUCAACCGUGGAAGGUCAUUGGAACUGGGGAACUUGAGUGCAGAAGAGGAGAGUGGAAUUCCAUGUGUAGCGGUGAAAUGCGUAGAUAU